rnacentral:rRNA from 1 species
UACGUAGGGGCUAGACGUUGUCCGGAUUUCAUUGGGCGUAAAGAGCGUGUAGGCGGCCAGGUAGGUCUGCUGUGAAAACUCGAGGCUCAACCUCGAGACGCUGGCGGAAACCUCUGACUAGAGUCCGGAAGAGGAGAGUGGAAUCCUGGUGUAGCGGUGAAAUGCGCAGAUAUCAGGAAGAACACCCGUGGCGAAGGCGGCUCUCUGGGACGGUACUGACGCUGAGACGCGAAAGCGUGGGGGAG